rnacentral:rRNA from 1 species
AUGGUGCGACGCCGCGUGAGGGAUGAAGGUCUUCGGAUUGUAAACCUCUGUCACUAGGGAGAAAACGCUUUGAGUUAACAGUUUAAAGCCUGAUUUAACCUGGAGAGGAAGCAGUGGCUAACUCUGUGCCAGCAGCCGCGGUAAUACAGAGACUGCAAGCGUUAUUCGGAUUCACUGGGCGUAAAGGGUGCGCAGGCGGCCGUGUGUGUAAGGUGUGAAAUCCCGGGGCUCAACCCCGGAACUGCGCCUUAAACUACAUGGCUAGAGUAUUGGAGAGGGUAGUGGAAUUCACGGUGUAGCAGUGAAAUGCGUAGAUAUCGUGAGGAACACCAGAGGCGAAGGCGACUACCUGGACAAUUACUGACGCU